GGGGAAUGUGCGCAUCCUGCUGAGCCUGCGCGUGUAUGUGAAGGCCUUCGGGUUGAAAGCUCUUUUGUCAGGGAAGAAGGUUGCUGGUUGAUAACCCUGGCACCUGACCGUUCCCUAACAAGAAGCCCCCGGCAAAUUCCUGGCCACCACCCCCGUAAUA
rnacentral:rRNA from 1 species